rnacentral:rRNA from 1 species
CUGAUGCAGCCAUGCCGCGUGUGUGAAGAAGGCCUUCGGGUUGUAAAGCACUUUCAGCGAGGAGGAAAGGUUGAUGCCUAAUACGUAUCAGCUGUGACGUUACUCGCAGAAGAAGCACCGGCUAACUCCGUGCCAGCAGCCGCGGUAAUAC